GAUGAAGAACGCAGCGAAAUGCGAUACGUAACGUGAAUUGCAGAAUUCAGUGAAUCAUCGAGUCUUUGAACGCACAUUGCGCCCCCUGGUAUUCCGGGGGGCAUGCCUGUCCGAGCGUCAUUGCUGCCCUCAAGCACGGCUUGUGUGUUGGGCCUCCGUCCUCCUCCCGGGGGACGGGCCCGAAAGGCAGCGGCGGCACCGCGUCCGGUCCUCGAGCGUAUGGGGCUUCGUCACCCGCUCUUGUAGGCCCGGCCGGCGCUUGCCGACACAUCAAUCUUUUUUCCAGGUUGACCUCGGAUCAGGUAGGGAUACCCGCUGAACUUAAGCAUAUCAAUAAGCGGAGGA
rnacentral:misc_RNA from 1 species